AGCGAACGCUGGCGGCAGGCCUAACACAUGCAAGUCGAACGAACCCUUCAGGGUUAGUGGCGGACGGGUGAGUAACACGUGGGAACGUGCCUUUAGGUUCGGAAUAACUCAGGGAAACUUGUGCUAAUACCGAAUGUGCCCUUCGGGGGAAAGAUUUAUCGCCUUUAGAGCGGCCCGCGUCUGAUUAGCUAGUUGGUGAGGUAAUGGCUCACCAAGGCUACGAUCAGUAGCUGGUCUGAGAGGAUGACCAGCCACAUUGGGACUGAGACACGGCCCAAACUCCUACGGGAGGCAGCAGUGGGGAAUCUUGCGCAAUGGGCGAAAGCCUGACGCAGCCAUGCCGCGUGGAUGAUGAAGGUCUUAGGAUUGUAAAAUCCUUUCACCGGAGAAGAUAAUGACGGUAUCCGGAGAAGAAGCCCCGGCUAACUUCGUGCCAGCCGCCGCUGUAAGAC
rnacentral:rRNA from 1 species